GGGUGCGACCAUACUAGAACUAAUGCACCGGAUCCCAUCCGAACUCCGAAGUUAAUCAUGCUUGGGCGAGAGUAGUACUAGGACGGCUGAGCCCGCGGGAAGUCCUCGUGUUGCACCCC
rnacentral:rRNA from 1 species